rnacentral:miRNA from 1 species
UGUAUAUGUGUAUGUGUGUGUGUGUGUGUGUGUGUACACACACACACACACACAUAUACACAUAUACAUA